GAACGCUGGCGGCGUGCCUAAUACAUGCAAGUAGAACGCUGAAGGAGGAGCUUGCUUCUCUGGAUGAGUUGCGAACGGGUGAGUAACGCGUAGGUAACCUGCCUGGUAGCGGGGGAUAACUAUUGGAAACGAUAGCUAAUACCGCAUAAGAGUAGAUGUUGCAUGACAUUUGCUUAAAAGGUGCACUUGCAUCACUACCAGAUGGACCUGCGUUGUAUUAGCUAGUUGGUGGGGUAAGGGCUCACCAAGGCGACGAUACAUAGCCGACCUGAGAGGGUGAUCGGCCACACUGGGACUGAGACACGGCCCAGACUCCUACGGGAGGCAGCAGUAGGGAAUCUUCGGCAAUGGACGGAAGUCUGACCGAGCAACGCCGCGUGAGUGAAGAAGGUUUUCGGAUCGUAAAGCUCUGUUGUAAGAGAAGAACGAGUGUGAGAGUGGAAAGUUCACACUGUGACGGUAUCUUACCAGAAAGGGACGGCUAACUACGUGCCAGCAGCCGCGGUAAUACGUAGGUCCCGAGCGUUGUCCGGAUUUAUUGGGCGUAAAGCGAGCGCAGGCGGUUAGAUAAGUCUGAAGUUAAAGGCUGUGGCUUAACCAUAGUAGGCUUUGGAAACUGUUUAACUUGAG
rnacentral:rRNA from 1 species